AUACUUACCUGGCAGGGGAGAUACCUUGACCAUGAAGAAGGUUUUCCCAGGGUGAGGCUCAGCCUGCGAUUUCCCCAGGUGUGGGAAACUCGACUGCCUAUUUUGUGGUAGUGGGGGACCAAGUGUGUGCUUUUCCCUAA
rnacentral:snRNA from 1 species